ACCGAAUCACAGUGUGACGCGGAUUCAUAAUCCAGUGGGGGUAAACGCCGUGUGGGUUCGAGUCCCACUUUCGGUA
rnacentral:tRNA from 1 species